GUUGGUUGAAAAUCACCCGCAGACUUGCCCGUGACCAUAGGUGAGAUUAAGCACCAAAGUCAAUGCCCUCUCAUUUACCGCCCACGCUUUGGUGUGGGGAAGUGAAACCCAGGCCCGACAUGC